rnacentral:rRNA from 1 species
AAUGAACGCUGGCGGCAGGCCUAAAACAUGCAAGUCGAACGCCCUAGCAAUAGGGAGUGGCGCACGGGUGAGUAACAUGUGGGAAUAUGCCUUUUGGUACGGAACAACGUUUGGAAACGAACGCUAAUACCGUAUGGUCCCUCCGGGGUAAAGAUUUAUCGCCAAAAGGUUAGCCCGCACUAGAUUAGCUAGUUGGUAAGGUAAUGGCUUACCAAGGCGACGAUCUAUAGCUGUUCUGAGAGGAAGAUCAGCCACACUGGGACUGAGACACGGCCCAGACUCCUACGGGAGGCAGCAGUUAGGAAUAUUGGACAAUGGGCGCAAGCCUGAUCCAGCCAUGCCGCGUGAGUGAUGAAGGCCUUCGGGUUGUAAAGCUCUUUAGCCGACGAAUAUAAUGACUGUAGUCGGAGAAUAAGCCCCGGCUAACUUCGUGCCAGCAGCCGCAGUAAGAC